GGGGGUAUAGCUCAGUGGUAGAGCGUCCGCUUUGCAUCUUGUAUGCGGAAGGCCUGGGUUUCGAUCACCCAUACCUCCA